rnacentral:rRNA from 1 species
UUGACAUCCUGCGAAUCCCUUGGAAACUUGGGAGUGCCUUCGGGAGCGCAGAGACAGGUGGUGCAUGGCUGUCGUCAGCUCGUGUCGUGAGAUGUUGGGUUAAGUCCCGCAACGAGCGCAACCCACGUCUUUAGUUGCCAGCAUUCAGUUGGGCACUCUAGAGAGACCGCCGGUGAUAAACCGGAGGAAGGUGUGGAUGACGUCAAGUCAUCAUGCCCCUUACAUCCUGGGCUACACACGUACUACAAUGCUACGGACAAAGGGCAGCAAACUCGCGAGAGCUAGCAAAUCCCAUAAACCGUGGCUCAGUUCAGAUCGUAGGCUGCAACUCGCCUACGUGAAGGAGGAAUCGCUAGUAAUCGCAGGUCAGCAUACUGCGGUGAAUACGUUCCCGGGUCUUGUACACAC